GACAGAGGGUGCAAACGUUGUUCGGAAUUACUGGGCGUAAAGCGUGUGUAGGCGGCCAUAUAAGUCGGAUGUGAAAGCCCUGGGCUCAACCCAGGAAGUGCACUCGAUACUGUAUGGCUCGAGUACUGGAGAGGUUGGUGGAAUUCUCGGUGUAGAGGUGAAAUUCGUAGAUAUCGAGAGGAACACCGGUGGCGAAGGCGGCCAACUGGACAGAUACUGACGCUGAGACACGAAAGCGUGGGGAGCAAAC
rnacentral:rRNA from 1 species